rnacentral:rRNA from 1 species
AAGGGAGAGGAAUAAGUAGAAAUCUACCCUCGGAUCGGGGAUAGCGGCGGGAAACUGCCGGUAAUACCCGAUAACGUCUUUGGACCAAAGGUGUGAUUCCGUCUGAGGAUGAGUCUACUUCCUAUUAGCUAGUUGGCGGGGUAAUGGCCCACCAAGGCAACGAUGGGUAGCAGGUGUGAGAGCAUGACCUGCCUCAUUGGGACUGAGACACUGCCCAGACACCUACGGGUGGCUGCAGUCGAGAAUCUUCGGCAAUGGACGAAAGUCUGACCGAGCGACGCCGCGUGCGGGAUGAAGGCCUUCGGGUUGUAAACCGCUGUCGGAGGGGAACAAAUGUACGGGGGUACUCCCCUGUAUUUGAGUGAACCUAGGAGGAAGGAGAGGCUAAGCUCGUGCCAGCAGCCGCGGUAAGACGAGCUCUCCGAACGUUAUUCGGUAUCACUGGGCUUAAAGAGUUCGUAGGCGGUCUGGUAGGUGAGGUGUGAAAUCCCCCGGCUCAACCGGGGAACUGCGCUUCAAACCGCCGGACUUGAGGGAGACAGAGGUGGGCGGAACAGAUGGUGGAGCGGUGAAAUGCGUUGA